rnacentral:rRNA from 1 species
AGCGAACGCUGGCGGCAGGCCUAACACAUGCAAGUCGAACGAACCUUUCGGGGUUAGUGGCGGACGGGUGAGUAACACGUGGGAACGUGCCUUUAGGUUCGGAAUAACUCAGGUAAACUUGUGCUAAUACCGAAUGUGCCCUUCGGGGGAAAGAUUAAUCGCCGUUAGAGCGGCCCGCGUCUGAUUAGCUAGUUGGUUGAGGUAAUGGCUCACCAAGGCGACGAUCAGUAGCUGGUCUGAGAGGAUGAUCAGCCACAUUGGGACUGAGACACGGCCCAAACUCCUACGGGAGGGAGCAGUGGGGAAUCUUGCGCAAUGGGCGAAAGCGUGACGCAGCCAUGCCGCGUGAAUGAUGAAGGUCUUAGGAUUGUAAAAUUCUUUCACCGGGGACGAUAAUGACGGUACCCGGAGAAGAAGCCCCGGCUAACUUCGUG